rnacentral:rRNA from 1 species
UCGGUUUCUCCCUUCUGACGAACCAUGAUGUCAUUUAUUUGGUGUUGUGGGGAAUCAGGACUGUUACUUUGAAAAAAUUAGAGUGUUUAAAGCAGGCUCACGCUUGAAUACAUUAGCAUGGAAUAAUGAAAUAGGACGUUUGAUUCUAUUUUGUUGGUUUCUAGGAUCGACGUAAUGAUUAAUAGGGAUAGUUGGGGGCAUUAGUAUUCAAUUGUCAGAGGUGAAAUUCUUGGAUUUAUUGAAGACUAACUACUGCGAAAGCAUUUGCCAAGGAUGUUUUCAUUAAUCAAGAACGAAAGUUAGGGGAUCGAAGACGGUCAGAUACCGUCGUAGUCUUAACCAUAAACUAUGCCGACUAGGGAUCGGAUGAUGUUAAUUUUUUAAUGACUCAUUCGGCGCCUUACG